rnacentral:rRNA from 1 species
CACGUAGGAACCAAGCGUUGUCCGGAUUUAUUGGGCGUAAAGAGCUCGUAGGCGGUUCAGUAAGUCGGGUGUGAAAACUUUGGGCUUAACCCAAAGCGUGCAUCUGAUACUGCUGUGACUUGAGUUCGGUAGGGGAGUGGGGAAUUCCUAGUGUAGCGGUGAAAUGCGCAGAUAUUAGGAGGAACACCGGUGGCGAAGGCGCCACUCUGGGCCGAAACUGACGCUGAGGAGCGAAAGCAUGGGUAGCAAACAGG